rnacentral:rRNA from 1 species
UACGGGGGAGCAAGCGUUGUUCGGAUUUACUGGGCGUAAAGGGCGCGUAGGCGGCCACUGCAAGUCGGUUGUGAAAUCUCCGGGCUUAACCCGGAAAGGUCAAUCGAUACUGCCGUUCUUUUGAGGAUUGCAGAGGAGACUGGAAUUUCCCGGGUGUAGCGGUGAAAUGUGUAGAGAUCGGGAGGAACACCGGUGGCGAAGGCGGGUCUCUGGGCAAUUCCUGACGCUGAGGCGCGAAAAGCGUGGGGAGCAAACGGG